UGGGGAAUAUUGCGCAAUGGGGGGAACCCUGACGCAGCCAUGCCGCGUGAAUGAAGAAGGCCUUAGGGUUGUAAAGUUCUUUCGGUAUUGAGGAAGGUUGAUGUGUUAAUAGCACAUCAAAUUGACGUUAAAUACAGAAGAAGCACCGGCUAACUCCGUGCCAGCAGCCGCGGUAAUACGGAGGGUGCGAGCGUUAAUCGGAAUAACUGGGCGUAAAGGGCACGCAGGUGGUUAUUUAAGUGAGGUGUGAAAGCCCCGGGCUUAACCUGGGAAUUGCAUUUCAGACUGGGUAACUAGAGUACUUUAGGGAGGGGUAGAAUUCCACGUGUAGCGGUGAAAUGCGUAGAGAUGUGGAGGAAUACCGAAGGCGAAGGCAGCCCCUUGGGAAUGUACUGACGCUCAUGUGCGAAAGCGUGGGGAGCAAACAGGAUUAGAUACCCUGGUAGUCCACGCUGUAAACGCUGUCGAUUUGGGGGUUGGGGUUUAACUCUGGCGCCCGUAGCUAACGUGAUAAAUCGACCGCCUGGGGAGUACGGCCGCAAGGUUA
rnacentral:rRNA from 1 species